CAACUUCAAAUCUUCCAGGAGAAGAUGGGACUCCAAAAAUAUUCCUCUUCUCUGUGGGUUUCCUUGCCAAGAAGUUAAAUGCAACCUUACAUUAAGCAGAUGGAGGCUUCUUCUCCCUGUCCUCCCUUCAGCUGCUAUAGUCAUAUUUUCUUCUGCACAAAGCCGUGUCCCUGGCACUGCAGUUUUCUAUCCUGAGGCAAAAUUCAGCUCUGACACCAGCACGUCGCUUUGCUCUCCCCCAGCCCAGAGCUCCCUGUUGCUGACGGGGUGCAGCAGCCACCCCGGGACGGGUGUCACAAUCCCACCAUAGGACAAGCAGAAUACCUUCCAGAUAUGUAGUGCAAGAUACUUGGAACAGCUACAAAAACGUGGAAAUGCAAGACGGUGUGCAUAUUAGAUUGGAAUACUGAUUAGAUCCAGAAAUAAAGGGCUAGAGAAGCCAAAGUAGUCGGGAAGCCAGCAUUUUGUGUCAUUUAUUAUUCUUUGGCUAGCUUGAAUUGGAAGAGGAACUGACUGAAUGCUUAAGUGACAUGUUGUCACAUACCAGUGCUGUUUGUGUCAGAGGUUUUGGCAGGGGACCUACACAGAGCAGGGAGCAGGCAUGGCUGGUGUGGCGUGUGGGAGCUGGGCAGCAGAGGCACUGGGAGUUUGAGGACAGAGGAUGGUGGUGACAACACACAUAUGGAGGCACCUUGAGCCACCUGCCAGGAAGGACCACUGCCCCUGCAGAGCUUUGAGCACCAAACAACUGCUGCUAAUAUCGCCUCGCAUCAAGGAAAGUGGUCAAGGCCUAUGGUGGAAGCUCUCCAUGGAAGGACUUCUCUGCUGGAAAAGUGGGAUAUGUUAAGACAAAGCCUGAAAGGUUACUGAGGGGUGAUCACUCCCUGGGCUCUGUCCUUCUGUGCACAGCUCUUCUUGCUCACUUGGCCACUUGCUGGGUAUUUCUGAACAUUAUCAUUUAACCACCUCUCUGCCAGCUUCUGCUGAGCCCACCAGAGCAAGGCUGGCAUGUUAGUCAGCAUUACCGGCUGCUGGAAGCCGGGGAUCAGAGGGACUUUGCUAUUUUUAUCCAGACUUUCUCACUCUGCAGACAGCUUUCUCACCUCUCCUGGAGUGUCACUGGAUGAAGACCAGUGCCACUGUGACACCAGGCGAUCUCAGCAUGUCAGCCCCAAGGUCUCAGGAAGUCCUGGCCAGAGAAAAGGGUGAUUGCACACAGUGGGGCCUGGUCUGCGGUGCUGCAAACAGCCUCUUGUUUCUUUUUUAAUUUCUUUCCUCUGAAAAGAGAAAGAUGCUCGUGAACAGCAAAAACAAACCGUGCACUGAUUAAAGAAGGGGAAGGUUGUGCCAUCUGUAUAACGUGAUCUGAGAUGUAAUCAUGUAUGUGAUUUUAACCUGAGUAGCUUCUGUCCUCUGUAAGACUCAAUCUCCAGUUUGCUGGAAGUAAAUCCAUCAAAGUCCAGCCAAAUAAAUUGGUGGUUUGAUGUGUUCUGAUGUUCACGCACCAAAGCAUGCCCGGGAGGGCAGUGUCCCAGCCUGUAUUUCGUGAGACAUUUGUAGCUAAACAUCACCUUUACUUCAGGAAGUGUCAGACACCAAGCCCCAGCACUGCAAAAAUACAGGUGGUCAUUCUCCAGUCAAGACUGCAAGGAGGGCCGUGAGGCCUGUCAGAUGUCCAUCCUGAGCACAGUUGUUACACCGAGGCAGUUAAACGAUAUCACCAGCAGCCCACCCCACUGCCUUUGUCUUUUCUGGUUGAGAGCAAUGGCUGCUGGGUGCAGCAAGCUGGAGGAGACACCUGAGUGAAGGGACACGAUGGCAGAGAAAAGAAGCAGCGGAGCCCUUUCUGUGCAUGAAGAUGAGAAACAGACCCUGCAACCUCUUCUGUGGUCAUUGUAGAAACACACAAAGUUUGACAUUUUACUCUGAUCCAGUUGGCCCUACCAAUACAAUACUGAGGCAAGUGGGAUGCAUGGAUUUAUCCUCUUUGUAUUCCUUUUCCUGGCAGCUGGACCAGCCUAGAACAUGAAUUUCAAACUCUGUAAUUAUAUCUACAUCUUUCAUUCCUACAGAAUGCUGACAGAUUAAGGAUGCGAUAAAGACUCUUUUGUCAUAAUAGAAAAGGGCUUGUAUGGGUUUUGCAAUGAAGAUAUGAUAAAGCUCUAAGAGGGCUGUACAAUUUUAUGCUAAUCCCUGGGAAGCAGAUCAAUAUCAAGGCGAAAGGCAUAAUGUUUUUUUACAAAAGGAGAGAUCAGCACAGAUGUACUCAGAUGAGAGGCAAGGCUACAAUCAAGUUGCCAGGUGAUGUUUGUCGUACAAAUCAAAUAAGAAAAGAUUUCCUCUUGCAGGCACGGUAAUCUUGUUUUUGUUCUUCAGGAACCAUAAAUGUUAAAACUGGAACGAGCCUAUCCGAACUGGUUAGUACAUCAGGUCUCUGAACCGCUUAUUGCUCUGUGUUGAUGCACGGAGAUUUAUAUUGCCUGUUGACCACUCACGUACACUUAUGGACAUCAUUAAAAAAUUAAAUAACAUUUAAUCAUGCGCCUCAUGCAGAAUUCAUCAAUGACAGUGGAUAUUUCAAACAAGAGUAGGUUUUCCCCUGCUGUAAAUCAGUACAGGGCAGUAGGAUAAAAAAUAAUAAGAUGAAAAAGUAUGAAUAUCUAAUUUGGAGUGAGCAUGGUAAUCAAAAAUGAUGGUUCCUUGACUAAAAACAAUUGGAUUUUGCAGACAUGCCUGGAAUCUGUUAUACAUUUGUGUCUUUGAGAAACAUAUUGACUGAAUUACCGCCUAGUCACAGCUCAUAAAUUAAGUAUAUUUCUGAUCUAUUCUACAGGGAAAAAAAGAGAAGCAGAAAGGGGCCUACAGAUAGGACCUGGUUCUGUGAAGGCAUGCCAUGCAUUGAGUGAUUGCAUAUUCUCAUUUGAUGAGCACAAUGAGAAUUCUUUUUCUGAUGCCAACAGCGUGCGUUUCAGUGAGCCUUUGCCUCUAAAAGUCCUUGAGUAGCUGCUGCAUUCACAAGCUAAAGAAUGGGGAUGGCUUGUUCCUACUGCUCAGUAAUGACUAUGCCAAACCAGACCCUGCUUUGGUAAGUGUUCCAGCACCCUAAGGUGAUCCCUAAGGCUCCAGAAGGACCAAAGCACAGGCUUAGCCCUGCCAAAUCAUUGGCAUGACUGGGGCUUUCAAAUCCAAACCACACCAACCAACCUUACAAAAGACCCACGUCUCCUGAUAGAAGUAAAAUGUGCUUUGCACAUUCCUUGUCCUAGUAACUCAGAAAGAAGUUUAAUGACAUUCUUUUAGUAUUAUCUCUCAGACCUUCCUUACUCCUACAAAUUUCCAUACUCAGCUUUUAGGAGGGGAAUGUAUUUUCCCCCGUGAGUGAUGGGUGAGCAAAAAAUGAGAUAGUUAUGAGGCAUGCUGCCAUUUUAAUUAUAAAGGCUACUGUGGUAGAAGCUCUAAGUUAAAUUUACAACAGAAACAAAACUUGUACAGGCAGGAGAUGAUAAAUGCCAGUACUUGACAAUGACAUAUUUUUACAGUAGGGAUAAUUUGGCAUUCCCCUCCAAUGAAGCUGCAUUCAAAAUCCAAGCCAUCACUUGAUCUAAUCUCUGAAAGCAGCCACUAUUUGCAUCACCUGCUGUAACAAGAAUGUGGAUGUGAACAGCACUGGAGAACCUGAAUGACAGGGUUAACCCCAAGAUUUCUACUAGUCUGAUGUCUUAGCAGGAGUUCUUUUUCUCAGAGGAGAGAGCAUCCUUCUGCUCUUGGGAAAUUAAGUCAUAUCUCCCAUGAACUAAACACAUUUGCCCUCUGACUGGAUGGUAAAGUUACAGACAGCAAACCUCCUUCAAAUGUCUUCAGAGAUGUCAUCUAUGUAAGCCUGAGUUCAAGGGUUUGGCCAGUCUUUCCAGGCCUUUCCAUUCCUCAGACCCAAUAGGAAACCUGAAGCCAGCCUUGUGCCCAGCUAUGUGAGGGACACAGAGGUGACUAGUGGUGAGAGAUUUGCCCUUGCUCAGCUAUAGGUGCCCAGAGGCACCGAGGGACUUGAGGCAUGGUGCAGGGCUACACUGUGCUCCUUAAGCACCUGACACAAACCAGGACCAGGCUUUGAAUUGCUAAGAAACAGGUCACCCAGAGAAGCUGUGGAUGUCCCAUCCCUGGAGGCUUUCAAAGACAGGUUGGAUGGGGCCCUGGGAAGUCUGAGGCAUUGGAACUAGUUGAUCUUCAAGCUCUCUUCCAGCAUAAGACACCAGGAAAAACUUUUUUCUCCCAGAGAGUGGUCAGGCGCUGGAAUGGCCUGCCCAGGGAGGUGGUGGGGUCGCUGUCCCUGGCAGUGUUCAAGAGGCGUCUGGAUGAGGAGCUAUGAGAUAUGGUUUAGUAGCUUGUGGUAGCAAUGGUAAUGGGAGGAUAGUUGGACUAGAUGAUAUUCUAAGUCCUUUCCAACCUUGUGAUUCUAUGAGUCUAUGAUUCUAUCCAUUCUAUGAUUCUAUUAUUCUGUGAAGGAGCAGUUUUCCUUGGAUCUGAGCUUAAUUUAUCACCGUUCUUGAGCUGCUUUAGCAGCCUGAGCGUUACCAUUGUCUUGUUGAUCUUCCUCUGUAGGCUCUGUUUUGGAAAAACAACAGAAAUAGCUGGGUUUCCGAACCACUGUUCCCGUAAGCAUACAGCCUGCUUUUGUCCUUCACACAGGGUGUAUAGGUCACAAGUUGUAUUAUUAUUGUUAUUUCUAAAUCAGCUCUUCUAGGUGUGUCUCCUGCCUUUUAUAAGUGAGAAUGUUAUGUCUUGCAACUGAGCAGCUAUCUAGAUAUUAAGGUUUUUGUUUGUUUGUUUUGUUGGUUUUUUUUUGUUUUGUUUUGGGUUUUUUUUUUGUUUUUUUUCUGGUUUCUCAUGCCUAUGGCAUCUCUGCCUGAGCACAAAGCUCAGCCAGAGAAAAUGAACCCAUCCCUGCUUGCUCCCUCUGCAAAGAAUCCAGUGGGCUUGAAGCUAGUCCAGUAAUGGUAAAUAUAGAAUGAAUGUCUUGCAAAUGGGUAAAACUGGGACCAAGGAGCAGAAAUUUAGCUGAUAAUAUAGAAGAUAAAGGAGAAGAGGCUCAGCUUCCUUUUGGGCCUCUAAGACACUGGGUUUUUACUCCAGGGUUUCUCAUUGGUAUGGGCAGGACCCUCCAUGAGAAGAGCUCUUCCCGCUGCCUCCUGGGCAGGCUGUGGCUUUCAGGCAGGGAAGGCAGAGGCAGUUUCCCAACGCUCCUUGUGACUGCCUGCUGUCAUCCUCUGGGUGCCCAGGGACUGGCUGACUGGCUCGGCAAGUUCGUCAGCUUCUACUGCCUGCCAGAGGAUACUGGUUAAUUGCUGUUGGAUUGCUGUGCGAUGAGCAGGUUAGAUAGCAGGACUAUUAAGCACUGUUCCACCACCACCCCCAAAACAGUAUACCAGAUACUUCCUCUAUAAGUACAGUUUCUUCCCAGUUCUAAUGAAUGUAGCUAUUUUAAACCUCAUAUGCUGCUACAGAGUAGUGUUUAAUCAGUGGGAAUAAACGGUCAGUGCUAGAUUUUAUUGCUCAAGUAUAAGUUAUCAUGUAGUGGAAUCUGGUAAUUACCCAGAAAAAAAAGGAAGAGGUAAGCAAAUUUUUUUAUAUUUUUCAGUCCAGUCAGAUGGAAUAAUGAUUUUUUCCAAGCCUUUCAGCCAGUUUCCUUAAUGUUUUCCCCACAAUGCAUUAAGACUCCUGUUCAGCAAAAAAAAAAAACAUAAACACAUGCAUAACCCCAGCAUAACAAUCGGCAGCUGCUUGUGUUAACUGUAAGAUCAAUACGUUACUGAAAAAGGGUCUCAGCGACCCAGGAGCAGUGAUGCUCAGUGGACUCAGUAGCAGCACACUAUUUUGGACUGCUGAUGGAAUCCCACCCACUAAAGCGCUGAAGUUCACUGUUUCAAAGCCAAUUUGCAGGAGGAAAUUUAGGAGGAAGUUCUCUCAGAGGGUGGUGAGGCCCUGGCACAGGCUGCACAGAGGAGCUGUGGUUGCCCCAUCCCUGGAGGCCUUCAAGGCCGCGCUGGAUGGGGCCCUGGGCAGCCUGAGCUGCUGGGUGGCAGCCCUGCCCAUGGGAGAACUAGAUCAUGUUUAAGAUCCCUUCCAACCCAACCCAUUCUGUGAUUCUAUGAUUCUAUGAUUCUGUGAUUUAGCUAUCUGAUGGCUCAGGGCCAUCAGAUCCACACCUCCACUUACUCUGCCACCCCACAGCAUCCAGGGCAGCACAUGCCACAGUGAUCCCCUGGGUGCCAUUCCCACAUCACCGAUAUCCAGGUGAGGCUCAUGCUUUGCAGGGCUGAAGAGGCUGCACUACUGCACACUACCUGCAUUGCCACAGCAGUCGCACCCAUGCCCAGCAGCUGGGAGGAGUGUUUUGGCAGCAGAAUCUGCCACUAUCUGUUGUCUUUGAAAUUGCUGGCAAAAUGAUGAAGGUAGUGUUAUGGGCUCAGAUAGAAGACAUAGGUGGCCAAAUUCAUCAUCUUUGAUAAUACCAU
ensembl:lncRNA